GGCUCCGCCUCUUCCGCUACGUAGCUAAGAUGGCUGCCGUUGAGUACGGAAAUAAGUACGGACAGUACGGGUAUUGGAACACGGCACUGGAUAAUAAGGGCUAGCCUGGAGUGUACGCAUUAGCCUGCAGUAUUCGGGCUAGGCUGGAGUAUACAGACUCCAACCAACUUCAUCUCGUUAUAACCCAUGUGACGGCGGUUUCUGCCCCCCUGCUCCACUGACGUCAUCUCUUGAAUCAAACGGUGGUUCUAUUGUCGAGUUCCUCCCAGGGAGGGAUCUGUGAUUAAAAUGUGUUUUUAAGAUCAA